rnacentral:rRNA from 1 species
UACGUAGGUGGCAAGCGUUGUCCGGAAUUAUUGGGCGUAAAGCGCGCGCAGGUGGUUCUUUAAGUCUGAUGUGAAAGCCCCCGGCUCAACCGGGGAGGGUCAUUGGAAACUGGGGAACUUGAGUGCAGAAGAGGAUAGUGGAAUUCCAAGUGUAGCGGUGAAAUGCGUAGAGAUUUGGAGGAACACCAGUGGCGAAGGCGACUGUCUGGUCUGUAACUGACGCUGAGGCGCGAAAGCGUGGGGAGCAAACAGG